rnacentral:lncRNA from 1 species
UAGGACAUGUUUUAGGAUUUUGAAUUUGGGGGCACAAUUAUUAUAUUUGAUGUUUUAAUAUUUGUUAUUAGUGUUAGAUUAACGUUUUACAUAUUAUUUAUUGUAUUAUCUUUUAAUGUUUAUGAUUAAAUAUUAGAAAUUUGGAGUUUAGGGUAUGAGUAUGGUUUACAUUUUCCACAAAAUAGCCACAAACCAUAUCGUGUCUAUAUGUAUUUCUAUGAUUAUUUUCGUGGCUGAUAGUAGAUGUUGAUUUCCACAAUAUUUUAUGUGGCUAAUUGUGACUUAUUUUCUUCGAAUAGCUACAAAAUGUAAUUUGCAGCUAAUUAGCAACAUAUAUCUACAGAAUAGCUA